rnacentral:rRNA from 1 species
UACGUAGGGUGCAAGCGUUGUCCGGACUUAUUGGGCGUAAAGAGCUCGUAGGUGGCCUGUCGCGUCGGCUGUGAAAACUCGGGGCUCAACUCCGAGCUUGCAGUCGAUACGGGCAGGCUAGAGUUCGGUAGGGGAGACUGGAAUUCCUGGUGUAGCGGUGAAAUGCGCAGAUAUCAGGAGGAACACCGGUGGCGAAGGCGGGUCUCUGGGCCGAUACUGACGCUGAGGAGCGAAAGCGUGGGGAGCGAACAGG